CGCUGGCGGCGUGCCUAACACAUGCAAGUCGAACGGGGUUACGAGAGCUUGCUCUUGUAACUUAGUGGCGAACGGGUGAGUAACGCGUGAGAAACCUGCCUCUCAGUGGGGGACAACAGUUGGAAACGACUGCUAAUACCGCAUAAGCGCACGGAGCUGCAUGGCUCAGUGUGAAAAACUCCGGUGGUAUAAGAUGGAUUCGCGUCUGAUUAGCUAGUUGGUGAGGUAACGGCCCACCAAGGCGACGAUCCAUAGCCGGCCUGAGAGGGUGAACGGCCACAUUGGGACUGAGACACGGCCCAAACUCCUACGGGAGGCAGCAGUGGGGAAUAUUGCACAAUGGGCGCAAGCCUGAUGCAGCGACGCCGCGUGAAGGAUGAAGGUCUUCGGAUUGUAAACUUCUUUUACCAGGGACGAAGAACGUGACGGUACCUGGAGAAAAAGCAACGGCUAACUACGUG
rnacentral:rRNA from 1 species